GCAGACUUGGGGGCUCCUGAGGCUCCUCCCUGCCCAGCUGAUGUCCUUGGCUGUAGCCUGCAUUGUCCUGGUCAUGUAGCACAGCUGGAGCCAAAUAGCAGUUUAGACCAUGGCCUGGAUGAGGUCAGCCCACAGCAAAAGACAGGACAGGCUUCAGGCUGUAGCCCUAUUGCUCGGACGGGAGGAGAAUCAUGCUGUGAUUGGGAAAUUUUGUGUCUGACCACCCUGAGCAACCACUGUUGGCUGAAUGGCAUUCUCAGGCUUCACACACUCUGGAUCAGUUGUGCUGGACACAGGGAAGGACAUGCUAUGCCACUCAGGACAACUCUGUGAGCCCAGGAACUGUGCACAGGGAGAAGCAUGGUCUGCUUUGGGAGAAGGGGACACACAUCUGUAUUUGUGGGUUCAAUCUAUAAAUAAUAAAUACUGAGAGAGCAAA